AUUAUUUUUCCCAAAAAAAAAAAAAAAAUCUGUUCUUAUCAGUUUAAUAUCUGAUACGUCCCCUAUCUGGGGACCAUAUAUUAAAUUGAUUUUUGGAAUAGGGAGAUGGAAUAGGGGCUUGCUCCGUCCACUCCACGCAUCGACCUGGUAUUGCAGUACCUCCAGGAACGGUGCACCCCCU
rnacentral:snRNA from 1 species